UCCUGACAAAAGAGUGGCGCCAAUCAUAUCCCAAUGCCACAGCCUAUCUUCAUUUUGGGAAUUAUAAUUUGUAAAUUUGGCUGUCACAGCCUAUCCAUCCAGACAAAUUCAAAAAUUUUCACCAACAACCAUCAACAGACCUUUUGCACGUAAUCUUGUUCAAGUAAAACGAUGGCACACACAUGAAUUUCACAAUAAGAAUGCAAGAAAACAUAAUAUAUACUCAAGCUUCAUUCCAAUACCAUAUUUCACAUAACUAAUAAGAGAAAUAAUUAGACACAUCAGUUCCUUUUCAGAUAGAACUUCACCAUGAUAAAUUAGAAAGUACAAUCUUUUGGCAGAUUAAGAAAUUAUUUUCUAUUUUCGCAUGUACUUUGUUUUGAUCUUUUCGCUGUUUGGCAAAGUAAGUAGAUAUUGGGCCUCAUAGAGAAACAAUAACUACCAUACACAAGAAAAAUAGCUUAACAUGUAGGUUAAUAUGAAAAGGAUAUAAACACAUAUAUAAGAAUGCAUUUCAUUAUGAGAGAUCCUUCAUAGUCAGAGAAAAGCUAGCCUAUAUGCACAUAUCACAACAGAGUUCUUUGACAAUGCAUAUCAAAAUAUUAGAAAAAUCAAAAAUAAAAAAUUUCUAAUUGAAAUUUUAAAUAAGCAAGCCAAAUAAUUGGCUCAAAUGCAUAUGGUAAGGAAGUUUCUUAUCAAAAGGCCACUAGUUAGUUCUAUAGCUCAUACUGUUGUUAGUGAUCCUUAUCUUAAUACAUGAAGUUCACUUAGCUGAAAUAUCUUUUUAGAUGAAUGUAAGUUGUUAAAUACUUUAGUCAGAUACGAUUUAGGUGAAACACAUAAUACAAAAACUGUUAUCUUUUAAUUGAAAGGAUUUAGAACCACAUGAAAAGAGAGCUACAGUAACAAAUUACAAAAACUACAAUAACAAAAGAAAAUAACACAAAAUGUCUGGCUAAAUAGUUGAAGCAGGACCAAGAUGAAUAGAUAUAAACAACAAAAUUAGGUCUUCCUCCUUGCCUCAAUACCUGGGAUAAGGCUCAUCGAGGAAUCAGACAAAAUAAAGAAAAGCAGAAAAGGAAACAUCUUAAAGGUGAUGAGUACACCAACAACCUCUAAUUGAGUGAAUAAAACUAUGAAAAUAGUCGUAUCUGAAAGUUGUCCGAUAAGUUAUCUAGAAUGUGGAAGUAACUUAGCCAGGACUGGUAGCUUUAAUGGACAUCCAAUACUGGCCAUUGAUAAUGAUGUAGGUGACUAAGAACUGAUAAAUUUCAGUUUAUGAAUCUUUUGGACCUUACACAACUUCUUUUAUGAAUCAUGCUUGGUCAUUUAACAACAUUCCCAGUGUGAUCCCACAAGUGGGAAGCUUGGUCAUUGUAAAAAUUAAAAAUCACUUCAAAAGUUGUACUAAAUAAGAAUACCAUUACUUACAUAAGGCCUGUGCAACAGUAAGUCUAGUACGCAGAUCUUUCACUAAUAAUUUCUUAACAAAAUCUUUAGCACUGUUGCUUAUAGUUGGCCAUGGCUUGCGACAAAAAUCAGGCUUGUUUCAUAGGACAUUAGCAUAGUAGAACCGGAGUUAGAAAAAAUAAUAAAUCAGGUAAAGAAGAAAGAUUUUACCAAACGUGAAAAAAAAUAAGUUAAAUCUCUCAAAGGAAUAAACCAAAAAUUUUGAGUAGACUGCAGAGCAAGCUACUCAAGGACUAAACUAAAUACAACAAAACUAUACACACAACCUAAUGCUCUUUUGCAUUUAAGAAGAAUUGCCAACAUCAUAAACACACUGCUACCUUAAUUUUGUAAUGUCAACUAAUCACCUCUUUCCCUCAUAUUACCUCAUCUCACUAGCUGCUUUCUUCUCAUUUCGUUUC
rnacentral:lncRNA from 1 species